AAUAAAUGGGUAAUUUGCCUCUUUGUUCGGAAUAGCCACCGGAAACGGUGAUUAAUGCCGGAUGUGUUCGGGAACUGCAUAGUUCCUUAUAUAAAGGCGGGGAUUCUUCGGAACCUGUCGCAAAGAGAUAAGCCCGUUUCCUAUCAGCUUGUUGGUGAGGUAAUGGCUCACCAAGGCUUACGGGUAGUUGGUCUGAGAGGAUGAUCAGCAACACUGGGACUGAGACACUGCCCAG
rnacentral:rRNA from 1 species